rnacentral:rRNA from 1 species
GAUGAACGCUGGCGGCGUGCCUAAUACAUGCAAGUCGAGCGAACGGACGAGAAGCUUGCUUCUCUGAUGUUAGCGGCGGACGGGUGAGUAACACGUGGAUAACCUACCUAUAAGACUGGGAUAACUUCGGGAAACCGGAGCUAAUACCGGAUAAUAUUUUGAACCGCAUGGUUCAAAAGUGAAAGACGGUCUUGCUGUCACUUAUAGAUGGAUCCGCGCUGCAUUAGCUAGUUGGUAAGGUAACGGCUUACCAAGGCAACGAUGCAUAGCCGACCUGAGAGGGUGAUGGGCCACACUGGAACUGAGACGCGGUCCAGACUCCUACGGGAGGCAGCAGUAGGGAAUCUUCCGCGCUGGGCGAAAGCCUGACGGAGCAACGCCGCGUGAGUGAUGAAGGUCUUCGGAUCGUAAAACUGUGUUAUGAGGGAAGAACAUAUGUGUAAGUAACUGUGCACAUCUUGACGGUACCUAAUCAGAAAGCCACGGCUAACUACGUG